rnacentral:rRNA from 1 species
CCUACGGGAGGCAGCAGUGAGGAAUAUUGGUCAAUGGGCGCGAGCCUGAACCAGCCAAGUCGCGUGAGGGAAGAAGGUCCUAUGGAUCGUAAACCUCUUUUGUCGGGGAGCAAAAGACGCCACGCGUGGCGUUCUGAGAGUACCCGAAGAAAAAGCAUCGGCUAACUCCGUGCCAGCAGCCGCGGUAAUACGGAGGAUGCGAGCGUUAUCCGGAUUUAUUGGGUUUAAAGGGUGCGCAGGCGGUCUGUUAAGUCAGCGGUCAAAGCCCGGGGCUCAACCCCGGCCCGCCGUUGAAACUGGCAGUCUCGAGUUGGAGAGAAGUAUGCGGAAUGCGCGGUGUAGCGGUGAAAUGCAUAGAUAUCGCGCAGAACCCCGAUUGCGAAGGCAGCAUGCCGGCUCCACACUGACGCUGAGGCACGAAAGCGUGGGUAUCGAACAGGAUUAGAUACCCGAGUAGUC